rnacentral:rRNA from 1 species
GAUGAACGCUAGCGGCAGGCCUAACACAUGCAAGUCGAGGGAGAGGUUACCUUCUGGUAACCAAAACCGGCGCACGGUUGCGUAACCCUUAUACAAUCUGCCUUUCACUUAGUGUUAGCCCUAACUAAUUUGGUUUAAUACCUAUUGGUAUUUAUAAGCUGCAUCGUUUUUAUAUUAAAUCUACGGUAUUGAAAGAUUAUUUUGCGUUAUAUUAGCUAGUUGGAGUUGUAACGGCUCCCCAAGGCGACGAUAGAUAGGGGUUCUGAGAGGGAUGUCGCACACAAUGGAACUGAGAUACGGACGAGACUCCUACGGGAGGCAGCAGUAAGGAAGAUUGGAAAAUGGGAGGAAGACGGAAACAGCCAUGCCGGGUGAAGGAUGAAGGGCAUAUGGAUUGUAAACUGCUUUUGAAAGGGAAGAAUAAGAGCUACGUGUAGUUUUAUGACGGUAACUUACGAGUAAGCAUCGGCUAACUCCGUG